rnacentral:rRNA from 1 species
AUUGAACGCUGGCGGCAGGCUUAACACAUGCAAGUCGAGCGGGGGAGGUUGCUUCGGUAACUGACCUAGCGGCGGACGGGUGAGUAAUGCUUAGAAAUCUGCCUAUUAGUGGGGGACAACAUUCCGAAAGGGAUGCUAAUACCGCAUACGCCCUACGGGGGAAAGCAGGGGAUCUUCGGACCUUGCGCUAAUAGAUGAGCCUAAGUCGGAUUAGCUAGUUGGUGGGGUAAAGGCCUACCAAGGCGACGAACUGUAGCGGGUCUGAGAGGAUGAUGCGCGACAAUGGGACUGAGACAGGGCCCAGACUCCUACGGGAGGCAGCGGUGGGGAAUAUUGGGCAAUGGGCGGAAGCAUGAUCCAGCCAUGGCGCGUGUGUGAAGAAGGACUUUUGGUUGUAAAGCACUUUAAGCGAGGAGUAGGCUCUUAAGGUUAAUACCCUUGAUGAGUGGACGUUACUCGCAGAAUAAGCACCGGCUAACUCUGUGCCAGCCGCCGCCGUAAUAC